rnacentral:rRNA from 1 species
UGAGGAAUUUUCUGCAAUGGGCGAAAGCCUGACAGAGCAAUACCGCGUGAGGGAAGAAGGCUUACUGAGUUGUAAACCUCGGUGCCUUAAGGAAGAAGAUCUGACGGUACUUAAGGUGGAAAGCAUCGGCUAACCCCGUGCCAGCAGCCGCGGUAAGACGGGGGAUGCAAGUGUUAUCCGGAAUCACUGGGCGUAAAGCGUCUGCAGGUGGUUUCCUAAGUCCACUGUUAAACCUUGAGGCUCAACCUCAAAUCUGCAGUGGAAACUAGGGAACUUGAGGAUAGUAGGGGUAGAGGGAAUUUCCAGUGGAGCGGUGAAAUGCGUAGAUAUUGGAAAGAACACCGAUGGCGAAGGCACUCUACUGGGCUAUGACUGACACUCAGAGACGAAAGCUAGGGGAGCAAAUGGG